rnacentral:lncRNA from 1 species
CAGGCGUGCACGUGCACAGGGCGCUUAUUGGCUGGGGCAGGGCACGGUCCUGGGGCACUGACCAAUGGUUCCUGAGACCCGCCUCUCCUCGGAUUCAGAAUUCCCAGCUUAACAGGGAGCCGCAGACAGGAAGAAUGGAGGCUGCUGUUCUCAGUCUGGUACAACCCCUAAGGAUUUCUGCUCCUAGGCUUACAGCGUCUCUAAACUGGGAAUGGCUGGGACAGUAAUUCUUCCGGCUCUAAAUAAGGUUUCUGUGCCACUGCCACUGCCGCCACCACCACCACCACCACCACCAUCACCACCUCAGCACAGCUCCAGGGUGGGAGCCACCCUGAGGGGAGGACCAGGAGA